AUUGAACGCUGGCGGCAGGCCUAACACAUGCAAGUCGAGCGGCAGCGGGAAAGUAGCUUGCUACUUUUGCCGGCGAGCGGCGGACGGGUGAGUAAUGCCUGGGAAAUUGCCCAGUCGAGGGGGAUAACAGUUGGAAACGACUGCUAAUACCGCAUACGCCCUACGGGGGAAAGCAGGGGACCUUCGGGCCUUGCGCGAUUGGAUAUGCCCAGGUGGGAUUAGCUAGUUGGUGAGGUAAUGUCUCACCAAGGCGACGAUCCCUAGCUGGUCUGAGAGGAUGAUCAGCCACACUGGAACUGAGACACGGUCCAGACUCUUACGGGAGGCAGCAGUGGGGAAUAUUGCACAAUGGGGGAAACCCUGAUGCAGCCAUGCCGCGUGUGUGAAGAAGGCCUUCGGGUUGUAAAGCACUUUCAGCGAGGAGGAAAGGUUGUUGGCUAAUAUCCAACAGCUGUGACGUUACUCGCAGAAGAAGCACCGGCUAACUCCGUGCCAGCAGCCGCCGUAAGAC
rnacentral:rRNA from 1 species